AACUCAUCGUAUUUCAAUUGCUCCACGUGGAAGUUCUGGUGUUCAGGAAGUAACUAACGGCUGCCGCUGUUGUUCUGGGGCCUCUCGGUCUCUGUCCAUAAAGGUUUCCAGCUCUUCAAAAUAUCCGAACUUGAGUUUCUCCAUCUGUGUUUCACGCAGGAGAGCUACCAGAGAUUUCACCUCUCUCCCGCAGUGACCAGGUGCUCAGCUUUGGUAGCAGCUGAGGCAAGAGCAGCAGCUGGAGCCGUGGUAACGGUUUCCCUCAGAAAUCUCCUGUUGCACUUUCUUCUCCCGAGGACCACGCUCUCUUUCUUUACAUGCAUCAGACUCUCACUGGAUCUUGACGUAUCCCAGCAAAUUCUUCCACUAUCUCCUAGCCCGUGGCCAGCCCAUCCUCCACACAACUCUGAAGUCAAAUGUCUUAAAGCAAUCUGGAGCAAGUUACUCCUCUGUGUAAAACUCUAGAAGCCUUCUCCCUGGGCACCAGGAAGUCGGGAUAAUCAGGGUGGAAAAGCCCAUCUGUUUGACUUCUCUCCAGCUGCUGCAGAUCCUGAAGGGAAGCUGGAGUAUCUUCUCCUGUGUGUCGUCUUAGUCAGCCUGGACUGUGAGAAAGCGACAGAAGCGGACGAGCUGAGGGGCAGGGUCUCCAACGUGGGUUAUACUUGGUACAUGAUGAGGCACCCCCACUGUGCUUAAAUAGACCUGAUGCAAAUGCUGAAGCACGCUGGUGUGUGCUUGUGGGGUAAAGUCACUGUGGGGUAGGAUGCAGGGACAGAGAGACCCAGGUGAAUACGACGCUUGACCCUUUAAGAGCUUAAAAUAAUAAAGGGACCAGAAACAUUAUAUAGCUGUAUUAUUUUACCUUUUCCCCGCCUUGGAG